rnacentral:ncRNA from 2 species
ACUCGUGUACACGGGAGUCCGUAUCGCUCGGACUGAGAGGGAACCGCAAGGUUUCGACCGUCGAACCUGAUCUGGGUCAUGCCAGCGAAGGGAGGACAUCUCGAGCCCGU